rnacentral:lncRNA from 1 species
AUGCACAAUACAAGCCCCUACCAGAACAGGAGUGCCAAAAAACACAGGAGGCUGUGGUUUGCUCACACUAAACACAUUCACGUUUACAGGCUUUAUUUAUUGGAGGUAAAGCAGGGAGCAGCACGGUGCAUCUGUCACGGCCUAAUCCUGGACUCUGAGGACAUGCAGCUGAGUAAUGGUGUAGCUCAGCAGUUGACAGUGUCUGCAUGAAGGCUGCUGCGUCGACCUGCUGAAGAACACACAGGCUGUCCCUGAAGAAGAAGUCAUCUGAGGGCAGAUGUUCCACCACAAACUUUAUAGACUGUUGCCUUUUUUAUUUCCACAUUUUUUUGUACUAUAUCAGAGAUUGAAAGGCCUCUAUUCUUGAGAGACGUUGUGCUUGUGAGUCAUCCCAUCAUGUUACAUUCACAAUAUAACUUCAUUUAUUUACAAGCUAAAGUUUCCCAGCUAUUUCCACCUUUUUUUAAUCUGUCGCUGUGUUUCGACUGUUUUCAGAUUUUUAUCCAAAUUGACAUUUGAAACAAACAUCUUGUAACGUUUUUCAAAAUUGUUGGAUAAAAUGACGUCUAACAUGUUUCAGUUUUAAAUCUAUUAAAAUAGCCAAAAGUACAGUAAAUCUUUUCCCAAUCUCAGAGUCUUACAUUUGUAUGUACAGUUGCAGUAUUGCCAACAAUUAUAAGAAUCAAACAUUUCAGAAGCGAAAGUUUUUUUAGCUUUCUGUUGUUGGCUCUAAAGAAAUGAGCCGUGGAUGCAUGUAGUAAAUGCAACACUAAAGGUUUUACCACAGGUUCCUUCUCUUCAGUUGUUUCUUUGCCUGAUCAAUAAAAGAACAAUAAGCAUGUUUGUAAUGUGAUCAGCGAGUGAAAGAUUUCCCAAAAAUACUCACAUUGGAUUACAACAAAGAAACUUGACUCACGAGACUCAUUUAUGUCAGGAACGCUUAUUUUAAAUUCUUCUCAAUUUUUUUUAGUUGAGGAAGGUUCUAGUUAAUCCAGGGAAGAAUGAAAUUAAUGAAUUAAAGUUGAAUCUUGACAUCUGGACGUUUCACCACUCAUCCAAGUGGCUCCAUCAGUCUCCAUUAGUCAUUAUUAUUCAUUGUGCGCUGAAAUAUUUUUCUUGUGUUGGGUUGUUAUUGGACAGCUAUCAUUGCUGUCCAGCUGAGGUGAAAGAAAGACUCUAACAUUUAGGUUCUGCCUACAGUUUUUAAGGUUUUCAUACAUGCCCCUAAUUACAUGCAUGCUAUGCAGCUCAGAGAGACACUUGGUAUUUGCAUUACAGUAAUGACAGAAAAUGCUCAUUUGUAUUUAUACUUUUAUUUCUGUAAUACUGCCAGGAUGUCAGCUUUUGUGAGGACUGUUUUCAUGUUAGGUCGCACUCAGUCAUGUGUUUCUAAGUUUAGAAAUUCUCCAAACCAAAAAAAAAAG